CUCUGGUUUGUUCUCAAGUCAUCCAGCCUGGUUGGGUUAAUACAGCGAACAAAGCUGAUGCAGGAGCCGGAGAAAGGAGCAUCCGAGCGCGAGGCCCCACAACCACAAGCCCGAGCCCCCGUGAGACACGUGGCACAGCAGAUCCCCGAGGAGAUCCUUGGAAACUCGGAGCUGCAGGAGGCAGCAAAGGCCCUGCCCCCAAACUACAACUUCGAGAUCCCCAAGACCAUCUGGCGGAUCCGGCAGGCUCGGGCCAGGAAGGUGGCCCUGCAGAUGCCGGAAGGGCUCCUCAUGUUCGCCUGCACCAUCGCGGACAUCAUUGAGCGGUUCACGGACGCAGAGGCCGUGGUGAUGGGUGAUGUGACCUACGGCGCGUGCUGCGUGGACGACUACACGGCCCGGGCCUUGGGCGCUGACUUCUUGGUGCACUAUGGACACAGCUGCCUAAUUCCCAUCAACUCCACUCAGGGGCUGAAGAUGCUCUAUGUGUUUGUGGACAUAAAGAUCGAUGCAUCCCAUUUCCUUGAGACCAUUCGCUUCAACUUCGUGGCAGGUGCCUCCCUGGCCCUCGUCAGCACCAUCCAGUUUGUCUCCACGCUGCAGGCAGCGUCACAGGAGCUGUGCUCCCAGUACAAGGUGUGUGUGCCCCAGUGUAAGCCACUGUCCCCAGGAGAGAUCCUGGGCUGCACAUCGCCCCGGCUCGCCAAGGACACAGAUGCCAUUGUGUAUUUGGGCGACGGGCGCUUCCACCUGGAGUCCAUCAUGAUUGCCAACCCGGGGAUACCUGCAUACAGGUAUGACCCCUACAGCAAGGUGUUCUCCCAGGAGCACUACAGCCACGAGCGCAUGCACCGCGCUCGGCAGGACGCCAUCCGCACUGCCACGACUGCCCGCUGCUGGGGGCUCAUCCUGGGCACACUGGGGCGUCAGGGCUCCCCCAAAAUCCUGCAGAACCUGGAGUCACGUCUCCGUGCCCUGGGCCGGCCCUACGUGCGGGUGCUGCUGUCUGAGAUCUUCCCCAGCAAGUUGCAGCUCUUCCCAGAUGUGGAUGCGUGGGUGCAGGUAGCCUGUCCCCGGCUCUCCAUUGACUGGGGAGAAGCCUUCAGCAAGCCCCUGCUGACACCCUACGAGGCUGCGGUGGCCCUCCGGGACAUCGAGUGGCAGCAGCCUUAUCCCAUGGACUUCUACGCCAGCCAGUCCCUGGGGCCGUGGACGGCGAACCACGGCGGCACACAGUCCCCGCGCCGCGGGCGGCCGGCACAGGGGAAGCCACCCGCGCCCCCCGCCCCGCCGGAGGGUGGGGGGAAUCCAAGCACCGGGGACCCCGCAGCCUCGUGAGGGCAGCCUGCACCCGGUCCUGCAGCCGCCGCGCUCCGGGACCCGGCGUGGGCAGGGCCGGGGGGGCGCAGGGGGUUCCUCCCGCCAGGGACCGCCCCGGUUGCCCACGGGGAGUGACCCCCUGCAAGGCCAGGCCGUGCUGCAGCCCCGGUGGCACCGGGGGUCCCGUCCCG